rnacentral:rRNA from 1 species
GAUGAACGCUGGCGGCGUGCUUAACACAUGCAAGUCGAACGGGAUCCUGCAAGCUUGCUUGCGGGUGAGAGUGGCGAACGGGUGAGUAAUGCGUGACCAACCUGCCCCAUGCUCCGGAAUAGCUCCUGGAAACGGGUGGUAAUGCCGGAUGUGCCGGGCUCCUGCAUGGGGGUCCGGGAAAGCUCUUGCGGCGUGGGAUGGGGUCGCGUCCUAUCAGCUUGUUGGCGGGGUGAGGGCCCACCAAGGCUUCGACGGGUAGCCGGCCUGAGAGGGCGACCGGCCACAUUGGGACUGAGAUACGGCCCAGACUCCUACGGGAGGCAGCAGUGGGGAAUAUUGCACAAUGGGCGCAAGCCUGAUGCAGCGACGCCGCGUGCGGGAUGGAGGCCUUCGGGUUGUAAACCGCUUUUGUUUGGGAGCAAGCCCUUCGGGGUGAGUGUACCUUU